AUGCUCGCUUCGGCAGCACAUAUACUAAAAUUGGAACGAUACAGAGAAGAUUAGCACGGCCCCUGAGCAAGGAUGACAUGCAAAUUCGCGAAGCGUUCCAUAUCUUG
rnacentral:snRNA from 1 species